UACGUAGGGUGCGAGCGUUAAUCGGAAUUACUGGGCGUAAAGCGUGCGCAGGCGGGCUUUUAAGCCAGACGUGAAAUCCCCGGGCUUAACCUGGGAAUGGCGUUUGGGACUGGGAGUCUGGAGUGCGGCAGAGGAGACUGGAAUUCCUGGUGUAGCAGUGAAAUGCGUAGAGAUCAUGAGGAAGACCAGUGGCGAAGGCGGGUCUCUGGACAGUUCCUGACACUGAGGCACGAAGGCCAGGGGAGCAAACGGG
rnacentral:rRNA from 1 species